GUAUGCCAUUGUUUUCUACAAUGUCAACAGUGUUUCAGUUUCCCAAUGAGAAAACAAAGCGCAGGAAAAGGUGGAAAGUUAUUUGCUUUGAACAAACUUAUCCUUCUGAAUCAACCUGAAAGAAAACCACUCAUAAUCUGUAACCUUCUAAAUCAACCUGAAAGAAGACCACUCAGAGUCUGUAACCUGUUAUGACUGCUCAGAUUUUAUUUCCUUAUUACCUAUUAAAUGCUGUGAUUUCACA